rnacentral:rRNA from 1 species
UACGUAGGGUGCGAGCGUUGUCCGGAAUUACUGGGCGUAAAGCGCACGUAGGCGGCUUUCUGCGUCGGGGGUGAAAUCCUGGAGCUCAACUCCAGAACUGCCUUCGAUACUGGAAAGCUCGAGUCCGGGAGAGGUGAGUGGAACUGCGAGUGUAGAGGUGAAAUUCGUAGAUAUUCGCAAGAACACCAGUGGCGAAGGCGGCUCACUGGCCCGGUACUGACGCUGAGGUGCGAAAGCGUGGGGAGCAAACAGG